AGCAUAUCAAUAAGCGGAGGAAAAGAAACCAACAGGGAUUGCCCUAGUAACGGCGAGUGAAGCGGCAACAGCUCAAAUUUGAAAUCUGGCUCUUUCAGAGUCCGAGUUGUAAUUUGCAGAGGGCGCUUUGGCUUUGGCAGCGGUCCAAGUUCCUUGGAACAGGACGUCACAGAGGGUGAGAAUCCCGUACGUGGUCGCUAGCUAUUGCCGUGUAAAGCCCCUUCGACGAGUCGAGUUGUUUGGGAAUGCAGCUCUAAAUGGGAGGUAAAUUUCUUCUAAAGCUAAAUAUUGGCCAGAGACCGAUAGCGCACAAGUAGAGUGAUCGAAAGAUGAAAAGCACUUUGGAAAGAGAGUCAAACAGCACGUGAAAUUGUUGAAAGGGAAGCGCUUGCAGCCAGACUUGCUUGCAGUUGCUCAUCCGGGCUUUUGCCCGGUGCACUCUUCUGCAGGCAGGCCAGCAUCAGUUUGGGCGGUGGGAUAAAGGUCUCUGUCAUGUACCUCUCUUCGGGGAGGCCUUAUAGGGGAGGCGACAUACCACCAGCCUAGACUGAGGUCCGCGCAUCUGCUAGGAUGCUGGCGUAAUGGCUGUAAGCGGCCCGUCUUGAAACACGGACCAAGGAGUCUAACAUCUAUGCGAGUGUUUGGGUGUCAAGCCCGAGCGCGUAAUGAAAGUGAACGGAGGUGGGAACCCGCAAGGGUGCACCAUCGACCGAUCCUGAAGUUUACGGAAGGAUUUGAGUAAGAGCAUGGCUGUUGGGACCCGAAAGAUGGUGAACUAUGCUUGAAUAGGGUGAAGCCAGAGGAAACUCUGGUGGAGGCUCGCAGCGGUUCUGACGUGCAAAUCGAUCGUCAAAUUUGGGCAUAGGGGCGAAAGACUAAUCGAACUAUCUUGUAGCUGGGUCCUGCCCA
rnacentral:rRNA from 1 species